GGGGAAUAUUGGACAAUGGGCGAAAGCCUGAUCCAGCAAUGCCGCGUGAGUGAUGAAGGCCUUAGGGUUGUAAAGCUCUUUUACCAGGGAUGAUAAUGACAGUACCUGGAGAAUAAGCUCCGGCUAACUCCGUGCCAGCAGCCGCGGUAAUACGGAGGGAGCUAGCGUUGUUCGGAAUUACUGGGCGUAAAGCGCACGUAGGCGGCGACUCAAGUCAGAGGUGAAAGCCCGGGGCUCAACCCCGGAACUGCCUUUGAAACUAGGUUGCUAGAAUCUUGGAGAGGUCAGUGGAAUUCCGAGUGUAGAGGUGAAAUUCGUAGAUAUUCGGAAGAACACCAGUGGCGAAGGCGACUGACUGGACAAGUAUUGACGCUGAGGUGCGAAAGCGUGGGGAGCAAAC
rnacentral:rRNA from 2 species